GACGAACGCUGGCGGCGUGCUUAACACAUGCAAGUCGAACGGACAGGCCCUGCUUUUGUGGGGUGCUCGAGUGGCGAACGGGUGAGUAACACGUGAGUAACCUGCCCUUGACUUUGGGAUAACUUCAGGAAACUGGGGCUAAUACCGGAUAGGAGCUCCUGCUGCAUGGUGGGGGUUGGAAAGUUUCGGCGGUUGGGGAUGGACUCGCGGGUUAUCAGCUUGUUGGUGGGGUAGUGACUUACCAAGGCUUUGACGGGUAGCCGGCCUGAGAGGGUGAACGGGCACAAUGGGCCUGAGAGACGGCGCAGACUCCUACGGGAGGCAGUAGUGGGGAAUAUUGCACAAUGGGCGGGAGUCUGAUGUAGCAACGCCGCGUGCGGGAUGAUGGCCUUCGGGUUGUAAACAGCUUUGGCCUGUGACGAAGCGAGAGUGACGGUAACGGGUAAAGAAGCACCGGCUAACUACGUG
rnacentral:rRNA from 1 species